AACUGAUCAGAGGAGAGCGGCAAACGGCGUAGUAAUGCGUAGAUACUCACCCUUCGGACCGGGAUAGCCAGUGGAAACUCUGGGUAAUACCGGAUAAACUCUGCGGAGCAAAGGUGCGAUUCCGCCGGAGGACAGGUCUACGUGAUAUUAGCUUGAUGGUGGGGUAAUGGCCUACCAUGGCGAUGAUGUCUCGGGGGUGUGAGAGCAUGGCCCCCACGACCGGAACUGAGACACUGUCCGGACACCUACGGGUGGCUGCAGUCGAGAAUCUUCCGCAAUGGGCGCAAGCCUGACGGAGCGACGCCGCGUGCGGGAUGAAGGCCCUUGGGUUGUAAACCGCUGUCAGAGGGGAUGAAAUCAUGGUUGGCUAUCUGAUCAUGUUGACAAAGCCUCAGAGGAAGCACGGGCUAAGUACGUGCCAGCAGCCGCGGUAACACGUACUGUGCGAACGUUAUUCGGAAUCACUGGGCUUAAAGGGUACGUAGGCGGUUCAUCAAGUCAGGUGUGAAAUGCCAGAGCUCAACUGUGGCACUGCGCUUGAAACUGAUGGGCUAGAGUAUUCCAGGGUGUGUGCGGAACUGCCAGUGGAGCGGUGAAAUGCGUUGAUAUUGGCAGGAACACCGGAGGCGAAGGCGGCACACCGGGGGAUAAACUGACGCUGAGGUACGAAAGCCCAGGGUAAGCGAACGGGAUUAGAUACCCCGGUAGUCCUGGCUGUAAACGAUGAGCACUGGGCG
rnacentral:rRNA from 1 species